GCAAAUGGCAGUCAGUUUCCUUUGGACACUGAGAAAAGGCAAAUGCAAAUGGCAACUGCACGGUACACCUUACAGGACAGUUUUUGAUGCUUUUGCAGAGAAAAGGCAAAUGCAAAUGAAGAGUACACACUGUCCUGGAUGAUACUUUGCAGGUAAUUUGUAUUAGUUGUUAUGUCUGGAAGCGAUUUUAUAUUAUCAUAGUUUGUUGUUAGUUGUUAUAAGUAAUUCUGAAGUCUGACAAUGAUUAUUUAGAGUGAAAUCUGGGCAGGUUUGUUGGAGACAAACCGUCUGACAUACAUGAUUUAUGUUCUUUGUAGUUCUGUGCUCAUUGCCUAUGUGAGUAUAGUCUACUUUCUUGUCCUCACAAUCUUUUCCCAACCUUUUCAUGUCUUUCAUAUUUUGAACUGCAUUCAUGGUUUUCGUAUAACUAUAAUAGACGCUCUUAUUCUUUUACUGUGAAACCACUUUUAGUUAUCUAUUUGCAAUAUGCUGUAUGUUCUAUUAGACAGCUACUUGUAGGAGUAUAGAUGAUGAAAUAAACAGAUUUAUUUUGUUAGACGAAAUCUAGUUGAGGAAUUUGACGUUUUUCUUCCUUUAUGUAAAAUCCUAAUAUUAGAAAACUAAGCAAAAGCAGAAAUAGUUUGCAGAGCUGUAGCUUAGGAAUUAUUUUCCUCAAUUUGACUUGAUGUUUGACGCAGGUAUAUGGAUGGGUGAUGGAUAUAUUGCUUUUGAGUGAUUUUUCACUUUUGUAUUCAUUUCUCUUUACCAUUACGGGAUCUGUCUUAUAACCUUUCUCAUGAUUUUCUACGUGAAUUGCAAUUGUUGUAUAAUAUUUUAUCAUAUUAGAAAGAUAUGAGGUGAUUAAAGAAAAAUUGAUUGUCCGGAAAUCAAUUUUUCUUAUUACACCUCAUGUCAAUGCCCAAAUUCCAUAACCAUUUGGUUAUUGUUAUCUUAAAAUUUUGAAAAUUGAGUCUAUAAACACUCAUUCUACUAGAAUUAUAUCAUAUUCUUUAGUUUGA